rnacentral:rRNA from 1 species
AUUGAACGCUGGCGGCAUGCCUUACACAUGCAAGUCGAACGGCAGCACGGGAGCAAUCCUGGUGGCGAGUGGCGAACGGGUGAGUAAUGUAUCGGAACGUACCUUUCAGUGGGGGAUAACGUAGCGAAAGUUACGCUAAUACCGCAUAUUCUGUGAGCAGGAAAGCAGGGGAUCGCAAGACCUUGCGCUGAUUGAGCGGCCGAUAUCAGAUUAGCUAGUUGGUGAGGUAAAGGCUCACCAAGGCGACGAUCUGUAGCGGGUCUGAGAGGAUGAUCCGCCACACUGGAACUGAGACACGGUCCAGACUCCUACGGGAGGCAGCAGUGGGGAAUUUUGGACAAUGGGCGCAAGCCUGAUCCAGCCAUGCCGCGUGAGUGAAGAAGGCCUCGGUG